GUACUGUGGAGUUUUUGUCUCGCUCUCUUUUAGUUUUUAGUCUCUUGUCACUUAAUCUUUGCUGUGUUUAUCUCGCCCUGUUUUAGAAAGAUGUCUGAAGCUGCAUAUGGACUCUGCAUAUUUUUCCUAAUGUACAUAUGGAAGGGGGAAUGUGUGAACGUUCAGCAGAACCUGACACCAAUAAUAGCCAACAAGAACAGUUUAGCAGAGAUAAAGUGUAGUUAUGAUGACAGUGCCAAGCCAAAUAUGUUAUGGUAUCAGCAAAAGGAGACAGCCAUGGCCUUAAUAGUGUUAAGCUAUGGUGCUACAAGUGACCCAACCUAUGAGGAUGGAUUUAAAGAGCGGUUUACAUUGAAACGAACAGAUACACUGAACGGCGUUCUGGAAAUCUCUGAACUCAGUCUAUCAGACUCUGCUGUUUAUUAUUGUGCUGUCAGUAUGCACAGUGCUGAAGUCUUUAUCACCUGCCUGACAAAAAACCAAACCACUAAACUUACAGGAAAUACACACGAGUGAUUUUUACGAGUGAUGAUGUUACUGCGCCGAGU